rnacentral:rRNA from 1 species
UACGUAGGGUGCAAGCGUUAAUCGGAAUUACUGGGCGUAAAGCGUGCGCAGGCGGUUCGGAAAGAGAGGUGUGAAAUCCCAGGGCUUAACUUGGGAAUUGCAAUGGAUACUGGCAGGCUGGAGUAUGGUAGAGGAAGGUGGAAUUCCCGGUGUAGCAGUGAAAUGCGUAGAGAUCGGGAGGAACACCAGUGGCGAAGGCGGCCUUCUGGACCAAUACUGACGCUCAUGCACGAAAGCGUGGGGAGCAAACAGG